UUCUUUUGACUUUAUUUUUUUUAUAAAUAUUUUCUAAAUAUAUAUUUACAUGUAAUUUUAGUUAAAAAAUUAAAAUAUUAAUCUAAAAUUUUAUAAGUAAAAUUCAAUAAUAAUCUCCUUAAUUUUAAUAAUUUUAAUCAAUUUUUAAUAAAUAAACCGUAAGGAUCAAACUAAUAAGAAUAAUUAAUUAAAAAAUAAAAAUUAAAGCAAUUUUUAUAAAGAAAAGAAAAAAAAAGAUACUUUAGAAUGAUCGGAAAUUGAGUGAUAGCUAUCAUUUUAAAUUACAGUAAUCAAUUUUAGUGCCGCAGUAUGCGCGGUUAUAUCACUAGUUUAGAAUAAUGUGACAUGCUAAUUUAAUUCAGUAAAAUUUUGCCACCUAUCCAUCCAUUAUUUUUAAAAUUUAAAUCUAUUUUUUUGCGAUCAUAAUAGAGCUUGUAAAGACAAUGACAUAAUAAUAAUUAUAAUAAGGAUAAACUUUAAAUACCACCCUAUUGUUUUACAUUUUCUCACUUUAGUAUCAUGUGGUUUAAAGUGUAUUAAUUUAGUAUCCUGUGGUUUCAUUUUUCUUUUUUCGUUUGUCCUCCGUUAAUUUUUCGUUAAAUUAUAUACAAAAAAACUUUAGAUAUCUUAUCUAUAUUUUAUCAAAUAUUCACUUUAGUAUCUUUUAGUUUUAGUUUUAUCACUGAUUUAAUAAAAAAAAUUAGUAGAAGGAAUAAUAAAAAGAGAAAAAUAAAAUUAUAGAAUACCAAGGUAAUACACUUCAAAUGAUAGAAUACUAAAGUAAAAAAAAAAAUUAUAAAAUUACAUAGAUGGUAUUUGAAGUUUUGGUAAUUAAUAU
rnacentral:lncRNA from 1 species